ensembl:snRNA U1 U1 spliceosomal RNA
ACUCAUACCUUACAGGGGAGAUACCAUGAUCAUGAAAGUGGUUUUUCCAGGGUAAGGCUCAUCUAUUGCACUUUGGAUGUGCUGAUCCCUAUGAUUUCCCCAAAUGUGGGGAACUCAACUGCAUAAUUCGUGUUAAUGGGGGAUUGCAUUUGUGCUUUCCCUGG